UGAGGUCUACAAUUGAAUGCAUGUGAGUCGUAGGUCAGUGGGAUUGAAGGAAGCUCUCUCUCACCCUCUCUCGUCUGCUCUCUCUCUCUCUUUCUCUCACAUACACUCUCUCCCUCUGUCUCCCCCACAAGCCUAGCUCCAACUUUCAGCCUUUCAGCCUCAGUUCAACUUUUGCUCUCGGACCCUUGGUUGCUUUUUCUCUGGACUUGACCCUGUUUUGUAGUGACAACAGCUAAAGACAGAUGAAGUCACCUGGAGAUGAAGAAAGUGACUGCUCCCCGUCUGUUACCUCCACAUAAUCUGAAGUUUACUUGUGCAGUCUUUGGAAAAAAAUGUGAAGCCCCCGAUGAAGGAGUGCUUCAUUGCCGUCUUCACAAUGUGAUGUAUCGAGCUCAAGCAUCGUGUUCCAAGAGUUCUCAAGAGAAAAUGGAAGGCAAAUGUGAUUCCAGCUGCCUGCUAAUUUACAAUAACCAUAUUUAAGAUUUUGUGUCUUGUCUGUCUGUUAUUCUACUGUAUUUGAUUGUAAUGAUAUUGUAUGAAAAAUGCUAAAGAAAACCAAAACUCCAAACCACAUCACUUGUGACUGUCUCUAUUUUGCAGCAAAUCCACUUGAUGUUCUGGAAAUGCCUCUUAGCCAAUUCUAGAUCUCUUAUUGUUUCAUUAGGUGCUCUGUUUGCAUCCCCUUUGCAGUUCGUACACAGAUAGAUGUAUAUAUCCAUCCACCCACCCAUCCAACCAACUAACCAACCAACCAUCCAUCCACAUCACACAAUGAGAAAAAUUGAGCUAUCAGCACAGGCUUGAGAUGAGAACAAUUAAGACAAACGGAUGAUAAACUUAUAACUCUCAUCAGCCUAAAGUGGUCUAUAUUUUUCUCCCAUAUGCUACCAAUAUCUUUCU